UACAGAGGUCUCAAGCGUUGUUCGGAUUCAUUGGGCGUAAAGGGUGCGUAGGUGGCGCUGUAAGUCGGGUGUGAAAUUUCGGAGCUUAACUCCGAAAACUGCAUUCGAUACUGCGGUGCUUGAGGACUGGAGAGGAGACUGGAAAUUCAUGGUGUAGCAGUGAAAAUGCGUAGAGAUCAUGAGGAAGACCAGUGGCGAAGGCGGGUCUCUGGACAGUUUCCUGACACUGAGGCACGAAGGCCAGGGGGAGCAAAACGGGG
rnacentral:rRNA from 1 species